ensembl:lncRNA
AGUCAGACAGUCUUGGAUGUCAGCAAAUUUCAUCACAAUGAAGGCGCUUUAAACUGAAAGAAUUGAACAAGGUCAGGUUGCAGCAACUCCACCGACUGCAUGACCUGUCAUAGAUGAAUUCUCUCACUGUCCUUCUUAUUUUGUCUCUGAGUUCAGCAUCUACAGGCUUAAAAGAGAUAAAUGUGCAGGCAGACAGGAACGCCCAGCUGGAGUGUCAGGGUCCUAAAAAAGGCAAAAUUGUCCCGUUAGAGUGGAAAAGACUCGAUCUGCUGUCGGAUGGAUAUGUCUUCUUCUACCGAGAUGGUCAUCUGCAUAAAACCUUCCAGCAUCCUAUUUUUAGAGAUGGAGUGGAACUGAGAGAUCCACAGAUGAAAAAUGGAGACAUGGCCAUCAUUUUGUACAACACCACCAUUAAAGACUCUGGGACAUAUGAGUGCCGUAUCAUCACACAAAACACAAGAGACAGUAGCAGCCCUACCUUUGAGAUCAAGCAUGAAAUCAGGCUGACAGUUGUUCCUCCAGGU